rnacentral:rRNA from 1 species
AGCGAACGUUAGCGGCACGCCCAACACAUGCAAGUCGCACGAGAAGGGGGCAACCCCUGAAAGUGGCGCACGGGUGCGUAACACGUAGACAACCUGCCCUGAAGAGGGGGAUAACGUUCCGAAAGGAGCGCUAAUACCGCAUAACGCAGCGAGUGGUUCGCCACUUGCGGACAAAGGUAGGGACCGGCAACGGCCGAUCGCUCCGGGCGGGGUCUGCGGCCCAUCAGCUAGUUGGGGAGGUAAUGGCUCACCAAGGCAGAGACGGGUAGCUGGUCUGAGAGGAUGAUCAGCCACACUGGUACUGGAACACGGACCAGACUCCUACGGGAGGCAGCAGUGGGGAAUCUUGGUCAAUGGGCGAAAGCCUGAACCAGCGAUGCCGCGUGAGUGAUGAAGGCCUUCGGGUUGUAAAGCUCUGUGGGGAGGGGAGAAAAAGCGAGUUCUAACAGGACUCGUGUUGACGGUACCUCCUUAGCAAGCACCGGCUAACUCUGUGCCAGCCGCCGCCGUAAAAC